CUGAGACCCAGGCUGGUGUGGACACAAGGAAGCCCCGCCGGAGGGCCCUCUUUACAUGGGGAGGCCUGAACCCUGAGCAGUCAAGGAAGUUUUGGAAGUGAGUAGCUAUGGCUUCUCCACCUGCUCCUGCCUGGACGGCGCCCUUCAGAACUCAAGCCCAUCCAUGAGACAGCACCCACCGGGGCCAGUGAGUCACUCCAUGAAGGCCAAAGAUCACCUGGACACGAGUCUCGGGGUAACCAGCCCCCCUGCAGACCUGCAGAAGCUUGGACAGCAAGUGGGAGUCAGCAGUCAGGAAACUCGGGGGCUUUGCACCUGGAGGGAAGCCCACCUGAUAUGAAAAUGCUUUCGAAGCUUGUGGAUCGGAGAGGCCAGUGGUGUACCGGGUGGUCCAAUCGAUCAGUCAGGACGAUCAUCAGCCCCAUUUCUCAGGUGCAGUACAGCACGUCCACGUCCUCCCGACACCGUGAGUGCGGCCACACCGAAGCCAGGGGAGCAGGUGCGCUUCUCCAUAGGUCCUGGUUUAAAGCAAGCGGAAACACCACAGGCUCGGG
rnacentral:lncRNA from 1 species